CCUAAAACGACCAUCCUUCCCAGUUCUGGUGUCUCCCAGAAGCAUCAGGCUGCCACUUCAAUCAUCAUCCCCAGCACUAUAGACACUCAGCUAAAACAGGGUCAGUUUAUUUAUAAAGAUGCCAUCUGAUGGCAAAAGUCAACCCAAAGGAUUUGUUUAUAACUUGGCGUAGCAUUAACUUGCCAUCAAUUUCAUUGUCUGGAAGGCUCCCGGCUGACAAAAGAUAAUCUGAAGGUAUGAUGCAAGCUAAAGCAGGCUUUCACCUGGGUGGAGGUGCUUUGGGGUCCAAGCUAUUGAUUGGUUUAACAAGCUAGAUAUUUGCAUUCCCACUAGCUGGGUGAACUCUAAUUCAGUUCAAGGUAAGAAAUGUGGUACCUUCCAGCUCGUUUGGAAUUUCUCAGCAACAUGGCCAAUGGCAAGGUAUUAUGAGGGUUAUAGUCCAAAACAUCUGGAGGGUUCCAGUUGGCUUAUCCUAAAUGGGUUUAGGGAUCAAUCCACCAUCAAGAUCAAAUAUUGGCAAAAUUCACCUUGGGUGAAUGGAUGUGACUUGAGUUCUUCCCAGAAGUAAUGUGUCCCUUUCAUUUUUCAACUGUAUUUACUUUCAAGUAAACUCAAAGCAUUUGCAUGAAGGCUUAUAUGCCUUGGAAUUCAAUUCUGCUAAAAUCAACAAGUGUAUAUAGAGGAUCAGAAUAAUAAUACUGAAUUACUGAAAAAAUAGACAUCAUGUAUGUUCAGAAAGCUUGGAACUGCAAGCAGAUGCUCCACAAUAUUAUCUUCAACGUGUUUGGGAUGGGUCCAGAAAUGUUCAUUUGGGUUCAGCAGAGUGUGGAAUAUUUGGCUGAUAUUUAUAUGAAAACAGCAAGAGGAGGUACCUACAGUGGUGGUCCUCUACUGUGGCAAAAACUGUGAGGGGACCACUUAGAGCCUGCAAGACUAGCUGCAAGGUGAACCAGACACUUCUCCAUGAGGUACUGGCACUACUUAACUGCAGGUUUAUCUUCAUGCAUCAGCAGGUCUUGGGCCAGCCCUAGCAAUCACAAUAACUGACAAGAUUUGCAGGAAACCAGAGAUUAGUUUCCCCAUAAAGAUCUGACAAUUUCACCACAGAGAUGGAUUUGAAGCAGCUGCCUAUGUUUGGUGUCUUCUUCAGCU